rnacentral:rRNA from 1 species
GACGAACGCUGGCGGCGUGCUUAACACAUGCAAGUCGAACGGAAAGGCCCUGCUUUUGUGGGGUGCUCGAGUGGCGAACGGGUGAGUAACACGUGAGUAACCUGCCCUUGACUUUGGGAUAACUUCAGGAAACUGGGGCUAAUACCGGAUAGGAGCUCCUGCUGCAUGGUGGGGGGUGGAAAGUUUCGGCGGUUGGGGAUGGACUCGCGGCUUAUCAGCUUGUUGGUGGGGUAGUGGCUUACCAAGGCUUUGACGGGUAGCCGGCAUGAGAGGGUGACCGGCCACAUUGGGACUGAGAUACGGCCCAGACUCCUAUGGGAGGCAGCAGUGGGGAAUAUUGCACAAUGGGCGGAAGCCUGAUGCAGCAACGCCGCGUGCGGGAUGACGGCCUUCGGGUUGUAAACCGCUUUCGCCUGUGACGAAGCGUGAGUGACGGUAAUGGGUAAAGAAGCACCGGCUAACUACGUG